rnacentral:rRNA from 1 species
UACGGAGGGUGCAAGCGUUAUCCGGAUUCACUGGGUUUAAAGGGCGCGUAGGUGGGUUGGUAAGUCAGUGGUGAAAUCCCCGAGCUUAACUUGGGAACUGCCAUUGAUACUAUCAGUCUUGAAUACUGUGGAGGUUAGCGGAAUAUGUCAUGUAGCGGUGAAAUGCUUAGAUAUGACAUAGAACACCAAUUGCGAAGGCAGCUGGCUACACAAUUAUUGACACUGAGGCUCGAAAGCGUGGGGAUCAAACAGG